UACGCUCUGUGUACUUUAACCUAAUGGGGGUCGUCCGGGAGUCGGAAGGGGGAGGGGAGAGGGAGGAGGCAGCCAAGGAAUUGUUUUUUUCUCUCGCCCCGCCUGCGCCAGGCCGGCCAAUGGCGACGGGUUGUUUACCCAGGAG